rnacentral:rRNA from 1 species
GACGAACGCUGGCGGCGUGCUUAACACAUGCAAGUCGAACGGAAAGGGCUUUCUUUUGUGGCGUGCUCGAGUGUCGCACGUGUGAAUAACCCCUUGGUAGCCUGCCAUUGGCUUGAGGCUACUUUCAAUACACCGUGGCCUGAGCCGCAAAAGGAGGAAUGCUCCCGAGGGGGGGUUGGCGUCUGAUUAGCUAGUUGGUGAGGCAAUAGCUUUCUAAGGCGAUGAUCAGUGUAUGGUCUGAGAGGAUGAUCAGCCAGUCGGGGACUGAGACACGUCCCAGACUCCGAGGGGAAGCAGCAGUGGGGAAUUUACCGCAAUGGGAGAAAGCCUGACGGAGCAAUGCGGGGGGGAGGUAGAAGGCCCACGGGUCGUGAACUGCUUUUCCCGGAGAAGAAGGAAUGACGGUAACUGGGGAAUAAGCACCGGCUAACUCUGUG